rnacentral:rRNA from 1 species
AUUGCCCCAGUAACGGCGAGUGAAGCGGCAACAGCUCAAAUUUGAAAUCUGGCCUCGGCCCGAGUUGUAAUUUGCAGAGGAUGCUUCUGGCGACGUGCCUUCCGAGUCCCCUGGAACGGGGCGCCACAGAGGGUGAGAGCCCCGUACGGUUGGAUGCCGAGCCUGUGUGAAGCUCCUUCGACGAGUCGAGUAGUUUGGGAAUGCUGCUCUAAAUGGGAGGUAAAUUCCUUCUAAAGCUAAAUACCGGCCAGAGACCGAUAGCGCACAAGUAGAGUGAUCGAAAGAUGAAAAGCACUUUGGAAAGAGGGUUAAACAGUACGUGAAAUUGCUGAAAGGGAAGCGCUCGCGACCAGACUCGAGCCGGGCGGAUCAUCCAGCGUUCUCUCGCUGGUGCACUUCGCCCGUGCCCGGGCCAGCAUCGGUUCUGACGGGGGGACAAAAGCCCGGGAAACGUAGCUCCCCCUCGGGGAGUGUUAUAGUCCCUCGCCUAAUACCCCCGCCGGGACCGAGGACCGCGCCUCGUGCAAGGAUGCUGGCGUAAUGGUCGUCAGCGACCCGUCUUGAAACACGGACCAAGGAGUCGAACAUUUGUGCGAGUGUUUGGGUGGAAAACCCUCACGCGUAAUGAAAGUGAACGGAGGUGGGAGCCUCGGCGCACCAUCGACCGAUCCUGAAGCUUGUCGGAUGGAUUUGAGUAAGAGCAUAACUGUUCGGACCCGAAAGAUGGUGAACUAUGCCUGUAUAGGGUGAAGCCAGAGGAAACUCUGGUGGAGGCUCGCAGCGGUUCUGACGUGCAAAUCGAUCGUCAAAUAUGGGCAUGGGGGCGAAAGACUAAUCGAACCAUCUAGUAGCUGGUUUCCGCCG